rnacentral:lncRNA from 1 species
AAGAUGCAAUGGGAGAGGGCAUAAUGAAGAUGCAAAGUAGGGAGGGAAUGGCAAGGAAACCAGACACAGAGGGGGCAAUGCUUGAGUGAAGUAAUGAAAGAUGAGCACAUGUCAACCGUGAGAAUAAGGUACUUAAAGCACACAGGAUAGGGCCUGGCACACAGCAAGCACUCAGUAAACGUUAGUUCUCUUUCCUACCUCCACUUGUCAAUGCUGGGAAGAACGGGAUGCUUGGGAAAAACUCAGUAGCCUUUUUUUUUUUCUUUUUCUUUUCUUAUUUUUGUUGUUUUUUUUUUUGAGAUAGCGUCUCACUAUGUCACUCAGGCUGGAGCGCAGUGGCGUGACACUGUGCCCGGCCUAGCUUCUUUUUUCUACUUUUUUUUUUUUUUAAAACAACAGAGACUAUAUAGAUCUCAAUAUUUUGCUUCCAGAUUUGUUUGUGGGAGAAAAUAAAA